rnacentral:rRNA from 1 species
GCUGGCGGUGCGCCUUAUGCAUGCAAGUCGAGCGAAGCUUUUCAGUAGUUUACUACAGAAAAUGACUGAGCGGCGAACGGGUGAGUAACGCGUGAGCAAUCUACCUUAGUUACAGGGAUAGCCCGAGGAAACUCGGAUUAAUACCUGAUAUUCUUUACAUUUCGCAUGAAAUCAAAAGGAAAGGUCAGCCGAACUAAGAUGAGCUCGCGUUCUAUCAGCUAGUUGGUGAGGUAAAAGCUCACCAAGGCAACGACGGAUAGCUGGUCUGAGAGGACGAUCAGCCACACUGGGACUGAGACACGGCCCAGACUCCUACGGGAGGCUGCAGCAGGGAAUAUUGCGCAAUGAGCGAAAGCUUGACGCAGCGACACCGCGUGUGGGAUGACGGAUCUAGGUUUGUAAACCACUUUCAGGAGGGAAGAAAAUGACGGUACCUCCACAAGAAGCCCCGGCCAACUACGUGCCAGCAGCCGCGGUAAUACGUAGGGGGCGAGCGUUGUCCGGAUUUAUUGGGCGUAAAGAGCUCGUAGGCGGUUCAACAAGUCGGUCGUAAAAGUUCAGGGCUCAACCCUGAAAUGUCGAUCGAUACUGUUGUGACUAGGAUACGGUAGAGGUGAGUGGAAUUCCGAGUGUAGCGGUGAAAUGCGUAGAUAUUCGGAGGAACACCAAUUGCGAAGGCAGCUCACUGGGCCGCUAUCGACGCUGAGGAGCGAAAGCUAGGGGAGCAAACAGGAUUAGAUACCCUGGUAGUCCUAGCUGUAAACGAUGGAUACUAGACGUAGGAACUGGAUUGACGGUUUCUGUGUCGUAGCUAACGCGUUAAGUAUCCCGCCUGGGGAGUACG